CUGCUACCAAGUAAGUCAACUAGUUCCUUUCCUCAUGGGGGCCUUGUGCGCAGUAGCUGAGGGUAGCAGCCCUCUUGGGAGUACACUUAACCUGUUGCCCACAGGGGUAGCCCUAAGGGACCGUGAAGACUGUU